rnacentral:rRNA from 1 species
CGGGAAACUGGGGAUAAUACCCCAUAGCCUAUGAAUGCUGGAAUGCUUUGUAGUUCAAAGGUUCACCGCCUUAGGAUGGGUCUGCGGCCGAUUAGGUUGUUGUUGGGGUAACGGCCCAACAAGCCUGUAAUCGGUACGGGUUGUGGGAGCAAGGGCCCGGAGAUGGAUUCUGAGACACGAAUCCAGGCCCUACGGGGCGCAGCAGGCGCGAAAACUUUACAAUGCGGGAAACCGUGAUAGGGGAACUCUGAGUGCCCGUUAAAUCGGGCUGUCCACCAGUUUAAACAACUGGUGAAGAAAGGGCCGGGCAAGACCGGUGCCAGCCGCCGCGGUAAUA